rnacentral:rRNA from 1 species
CCUACGGGAGGCAGCAGUGGGGAAUAUUGCACAAUGGGGGGAACCCUGAUGCAGCGACGCCGCGUGAGUGAAGAAGUAUUUCGGUAUGUAAAGCUCUAUCAGCAGGGAAGAAGAUGACGGUACCUGACUAAGAAUCCCCGGCUAACUACGUGCCAGCAGCCGCGGUAAUACGUAGGGGGCAAGCGUUAUCCGGAUUUACUGGGUGUAAAGGGAGCGUAGACGGCAGGGCAAGUCUGGCGUGAAAGCCCGGGGCCAAACCCCGGGACUGCUUUGGAAACUGCCAUGCUAGAGUGCUGGAGAGGUAAGCGGAAUUCCGAGUGUAGCGGUGAAAUGCGUAGAUAUUAGGAGGAACACCAGUGGAGAAGGCGGAUUACUGGACAGUAACUGACGUUGAGGCUCGAAAGCGUGGGGAGCAAACAGGAUUAGAUACCCGGGUAGUC